ensembl:lncRNA
UCUGCUCUCUGCUCUGACCUAUACCCAUGUGAGGCACCAAUAACACUGGGUGGGAUAUUCAGUCUGUUCCCCCUCUCCCUCCCCAGCCCUCUGCUUAGCUUGGCUCUUUCCUCCCCCCCUGCGCUGCUUUGCUUUGCUCCAAACUGUCCCCAUCUUCAAUGCUGCCACUCCGGCAGCUCCAAAUUCCCCAGCACCUGUAAGCUUAGAAUUUAUGCUUUAUUUUCUUUUUUUUAAUCCUGGUGUCCAACCUGUGGAAGACAUGGGUAAAGAGAGAAGACUGUGAUAACUAAAUGGACCUGCAAUAAUUUACUGACUGGGAUGCUUUUUUUGACUUGAAAACUUGAUACUGAUUCACUGAAGCUGUCACCAGUCAGUCCUGCAUGAGGAGGCUUUGCCCCCAGCUUGGAGGAUCCUACCUGAAGUAGACUCCACAUCACCAUGGCUGAAGGAGCUAAAUCCGCCUCCCACCCUGCAGCCGCUGCAUCCAAUGGAGCAGCGGCCCAAAGCUCCCUCAGAUCCAAAGGUCUGGGGCUGCUCAGGAAGCUGAAAAUGUCUGUGGAGCUGCUCUUUGCUCUGGCUGCUCUGCUGUCCUGGGUGGUUGUAGGUGUGGUGAUGUUUGACUUUGUGGAGUACAAGGCAGUCCCAGAUGUUCAGCAAAUCAUUACGGAUCCUGUUCAAGCUGUAAACGAUGCUGUUGAUGAAGUGACCAGUCUGUUUAAUAAAUUUCAAGAAUGUGCACCUGAUUUGAGCGACCCCAUGUCUGCUGCCACGUACGCAGCUGAGGAAAUAUCGGUGGCAAAAGAUGGAAUUGUUCGAUACUUUUCAGACGAGGAAGGGACCUUCUACCUCAGCUACGUCGACCCUGUGGUCAUUGGUAGACGAGCCUUCCAUUCAACCAAUGACUUCAUGUGUGGAGUGGUGGGCCCCUUCAGGGACACACUCUCUGCUGCUGUGGAUACCAUAUUAGAUACCAUAACAGAUAUAAAUAAAGGAAAAAUUGAUCUUAGCUACAUUGACCCUGUUGUAGUAGGCAGAGGUGUCUUUAGUGUUACUAAUGAGCUCAUGAACGGACUAACAGCCUACAUCCAGGAUGCACUCUGUUACAUGAUGGACACUACACUGGAUGUAGUGAAAGGAACCACUGACGUUAGCUUCAUGGACCCCGUGGUCAUUGGCAGAAAUGUCUUCACUAUUACAAAUGACACCGUCAGUGGACUAGUGGGCUAUAUCCAGGACUUACUCUGUGCCAUCCUAGACACUAUCCUGGAUAUAACUAAAGGGACCACUGACAUUAGCUUCAUUGACCCCGUGGUCAUUGGUAGAAAUGUCUUCAGUAGUAUAAAUGACACUGUCAAUGGACUAGUGGGCUAUAUCCAGGACUUACUCUGUGCCAUCAUAGACACUAUCCUGGAUAUAACUGGAGGACAAACUGACGUUAGCUUCAUUGACCCUGUGGUUGUUGGCAGAAAAGCCUUCAGUGUUAUUAAUGACUUUGUGAGUGGAAUAGCUGAAUACAUCCAGGAUGUGCUCUGUGCCAUCUUGGAUGUUAUACUCGAUGCAUUAAAAGAUAUCGAGGAAGCUGUGGGCUUCAGUCCCAUGUCUGUUCUGAAGACAGCAGCAGAAAUCACCAAAGAACACACAAACAUGCUUGUGAGCUACGUCUCCUCAACACUGAUUGGGGAACAAGGGAUCGUACCUGAAGUCUCCAUUGACCCCAUGAAAGUUGUUGAAGACGCUGUGCUGGAGUUCACAGACAAGAAAGAUCUGUUCAUGGCUUACAUGUCAAGCAUGCUUGUUGGUGACCAAGAUGAAAGUGCAGCUUCCCCAGCUGAUAUCAAUCUUGUAAGAAGAAAAGGGGAAUUUCUGCCACCUUUAGAAAAAGUUGCAGAGACCUUGCAUGAAGUAGAUGAAGCUGCUCAGACAAAAACUGAAGAGGUGGAGGCAGAAGCUCCCUUUGAAGUUGCCAGUGAAGCACAGGCAGAGGAAGAGGAAGUGAAACAUGUCCACCUUGAAGAAAAAGAACCUGAACCAUCACUGAAAGAAGUGGAAAUCAUUGAAGAGGAGGAAGAGGAGGAGCAGGAGGGAAAGGGCAAAGAGGUUGUUGAGGAGGAAGAAGAAGAGAAGGAGGAAGGUGUAGAGCAAUUGGAGAAAAAGGAAGAAGAGGUUGGGGAGGCAGAAGAGGGUGAUGGUACAGAGGAACCCAUAGACAUUAAGAUAGAGGAGGCUGUGGUAGAAGAGGAGGAGGAGGUGGAGGAGG